AGCAGCCGCGGUAAUUCCAGCUCCAAUAGCGUAUAUUAAAGUUGUUGCAGUUAAAAAGCUCGUAGUUGAACUUCGGGAUUUACUCAUUGGUCAGGCUUAAUUGUCUGUACUGGUGAGCUGAAUCUCUACCUUCUGAGGAACUUUCAUGCCAUUUAUUUGGUGUGAUGGGAAAUCAGGACUGUUACUUUGAAAAAAUUAGAGUGUUUAAAGCAGGCUAACGUCUGAAUACAUUAGCAUGGAAUAAUGAAAUAGGACGGACUGAUUCUAUUUCGUUGGUUUCUAGGAUCACCGUAAUGAUUAAUAGGGAUAGUUGGGGGCAUUAGUAUUCAAUUGUCAGAGGUGAAAUUCUUGGAUUUAUUGAAGACUAACUACUGCGAAAGCAUUUGCCAAGGAUGUUUUCAUUAA
rnacentral:rRNA from 1 species